GCGCUAUUACAGUUUCCUAUUUUUUUUGUACUGUUGCAGACCAACGCAAUCUAGAUGCAUGGCGCCUCCAGCAGCGAAACAACCUUUCGAGCGCAACCGUGUUUCUUCGGCCGCUUCGACUUCUAGCCGUCAUAGUUUACGAGACGAUCAGGGGUACGAUGGAAUGGACGACGUAGUGCCACCUGCUCCCAGAGUCGAGAAACUGAAGUCAACUCCUUCACCUCAAGGGAGAGGACCAAUGAAAAGAGUCAAUCCUCGCUCUGGACUGAAGUCCGCUUCGAAUUUGCGGGUCGCGAAAACACCGAAGAGUUCGCCUUUAACCAAAAAAUCAUUUGUUGUUCCGUCUGCUGCUUCUGAUGAUAACACAGUGAGGCUCCGGCAGGACGAACCCAGAAAUCCCUCACGUGCCUUCAUCUGUUGAGUGACUCCGUCCCUGACCCUGAACACAGGCUGCGGCGGAAGA
rnacentral:lncRNA from 1 species